rnacentral:lncRNA from 1 species
CAAUAUUUCCCCCUUGAAACCCCCAAUUUCACUUUUAAAAAUUCUCCGCCUAGUUGUGUUGCUCCUUCUCUCGUACAAACUUCACUCUUCCUUGUUUAAUUUAUUUCAAUUUUGUUUUGUAUAAAUUUCAAUUUCAUUUUUACAUCCGCCGCUGCAAGUGCAAAUCCAAGGGCUACCAUCUUUCGAUUCCAAAAAUUUUCCUUUUUCUCCUCGUAGAUCCUUCUCCGGUUCAUGGUUCUUUUUUCAUUUUUCAUUUCAUUUCAGAUUUUUUUUAAAAAAAAUUGUUUUUGAAUAGUGUUUUGGUUCAGUGAGGAAAGCGCCGAGCUUUGUGGUAGUCAGAUCUGAUGGAACCAUGAACUUGGAUUUUCAUUCUUGGGAUUUUCAUUCUUGGAAUUUUUGUGAGUGUUUCUGUAUUAGGUUUUAAGAAGCCGAACUAAUAGCCUUGCUUAGCAGCAAGCACUACAUACCAACGCCAGCUGAAGAUGGAGAUAGAGAACUAGAACCCUUUUCAACUUGAUGUGAGAAAUCUCCUCGCUUUUAACCCUUUUCACAACUUUCCUUCCCACCCCACUUCCAGGUUUGCCCAUUUUAUUUCACAACGACUCUUUGAUUCGUCAUUGCUGUCAAUAAGUAGCACAAAGAAUUUAAAUUUUCCUUUAUUUGUUCUCUGUGAAUUGAUUUAAUGCUUGAAGAUUGAAUUAAAAUUUGAGAGAGAAGUUAGCCUGUUACCUCUAACGUUUUAAGAUGGAUCCUUUAGCUACGGUCAGCGAAGAGCUAGCGGAGAUCGACGGACAAGUCGCCGACAUUUUUUGAGCUUUAUCAUAAGACUUUAAUUUCUUUUUCUUCUUUGUUUAUGCGAUGUAAGAAUUUAAUUUCUUUUUUGAGCUUUAUCGACAUUUUUAUUCAUUUUUAACUCUCUGGGUUUUUAUUCUUUUGAUUGUUUUAUAACAGUUUCUUCUUAAAGGAUAUGUGAUAUACGAAAUCCAAGAGUUGAAUCCAGGUGUUCAUUUAUUCAUACACUAUUCUACUUUAUCUUGUUUUUAUCACAAUGUUUCAUAUUUGGUCUAUAAAUUUCAAGAAACUUCGUUUGGCAGAUAACAAUUUACUUCAUGGAGCUUGCUACCCCACAUACAGAAGAAGUAAUAAAACUUGUUGAUAAAGUUGGCGAUUUUGAGUGGUUAAUUCAGAAAUCUCCAUUAUCUUAGACUUGCAAAGUAGAACAGAACACUAACUGUUUUGGUCCCUUUUAAUAGAAACUGAACUCUCUAGGAUUUUUGCAUUAUUAUUUAGUAUGAACAUUACUAAUGUAUUUCCAUAUGGCAGGUUUGUUCAACUUGAUGUGGGUCUUCUAAAGGUCAGAAAUAAAAUAAGUUGAGCAUAUUAGGUUUGUCACCUAAAGGGCUCUGUAGAUUGUUUUAGAUUGGCUUGAUUUUUUAUUCACUCAAUAUUUCUCUUUAUCUCUCCAUUUGAUCCUGUUCUAGCAUCAUUUAGUACUUGUUCUCAUAUGUUCAUUGAUAUUUAAGUUAUGUUCUUUUGUGUUCGAUUAUUUUAGGUGCUGCUGAAGAAGCAACCGCAGUUUUUGGUCAAGCAGCUGCUCUUUGUGUUCAAAAGCAGUACGUAGAUCAUGGGGCAGCUAGCCCAAAUUUGUAUAUUUUCAGUCAGGAUUAUAAUUUGUUUUUGUCGCGGAAUACAUUGAAUCUGAGAACUUGAGUGAUCUAGAAGAUGUUGAUACAUGUCUUAAGGUAUAAUUUACUUUCAGUUUACAUUUGUCAUCUCUAACAAAUGACUCAAACUUGAAAGUUACUGUAGCUUAUGUUCUUAACAUUAGUUGUCUUAAAAGUUGCAUUUGAAUGAGUCUAAAAAUUAUAUAAUCCUAAACUUAGUGUUCCUGAACACAAUUAUAACAUCUUUUCUUAGCAUAUAAACUUAGCAUGAAUCAAGUCAAUGAUCAGUUUAAUCUUUUCAGGUUUGGAGCCAUCAAACACUAGUGGUGUUGUCUUCUUUAUGGUUCAGACUGCGAGAGUGGAGAGGAGGAUAAAUGAGACAGAUAACUAUAGCAAAUUGGUGUAUGUAUAUGAAGCUUAAAUUUUUAUUUUGUAGCAUUAAGUUUUCUGUAGCAUUAAGUUUUUAUUUUGUAUGCAUUGGUGUAUGUGAUUUUAUCAUGAGGAUAAAUGUUUUCUGUAGCUAUCUUUCCAUUGUUUAUUUUAGUUUUGAUUCUAAAUUUUUAUUUUUACUUUAAUAUUUACGACAACUUGAGUUCUAACUUUUGUAUUUUAAUUGUGUUAUUAAUUUAUUAUUUUAAAUUCUAAAACUAAA